GACAGUUCAUAAAACCAGCUAUUCACAGUACAGGAGGCCUACUUCAGACGAUUAAAUACUUGCAUUCAAAACUUUCCUUACGUCCACAGUGUGUAUUUUAAGAAGGCAUUAUGUUGACAAUGUGACGGUGAUCAGGAGCACAGAAAGCCGGCUUCACGACCAGUUACAGGUGUUUGUGGUGUUACAACCGCUCCUGCGCUGUGAUGGACCCGACUGAGAAUUCAUGAAAACGUAGGCUACAGAGAUAUCGACAUAGUGUUAGAUACAGCGUCCGCACCCCGCCCUCUGGCAGGCCGAGGAAGAGAGACACAAGACGUCUCAUCUCUGUAAUCGUGUCCGUGGUGGUUCCAAGGCGCUUAUUGUACGGCGAUCAGCUAACCCUGCAAGACCCUCCCUCUGGAGCGGUGAGCCCAUUAUGCUGCUCCACAUGAGCCGGCCAAACUUGGCUUUUGGUAGGACCGGGAAUCCAACCCCGGUCCCCGGUGUGCAACUGCAGUGAACUGCAACCGGGGCGACAUGGCUCAGGCAGUAAGAGCAGUCGUCUGGUAGUCGGAGGGUUGCCGGUUCAAUCCCCCGCCUGGGCUGUGUCGAAGUGUCCCUGAGCAAGACACCUAAAAUGCUCCUGACGAGCUGGUCGGUGCCUUGCGUGGCAGCCAAUCGCCAUUGGUGUGUGUGUGUGUGUGUGUGU